rnacentral:rRNA from 1 species
AUUGAACGCUGACGGCAGGCCUAACACAUGAACGUCGAACGAGUGGCGGACGGGUGAGUAAUGUCUGGGAAACUGCCUGAAGGAGGGGGAUCACUACUGGAAACGGUAGCUAAUACCGCAUAACAUCAGAUGUGACCAAAUGGGAUUAGCAAGUUGGGGGGGUAACGGCUCACCAAGGCGAAGAUCCCUAGCGGGUCUGAGAGGAUGACCAGCCACACUGGAACUGAGACACGGUCCAGACUCCUACGGGAGGCAGCAGUGGGGAAUAUUGCACAAUGGGCGCAAGCAUGAUGCAGCCAGGCCGCGUGUAUGAAGAAGGCCUUCGGGUUGUAAAGUACUUUCAGCGGGGAGGCGUUACCCGCAGAAGAAGCACCGGCUAACUCCGUGCCAGCAGCCGCGGUAAUUC